rnacentral:rRNA from 1 species
GCAGCAGGCGCGAAACUUACCCACUCGAGACUUUCGGAGGAGGUAAUGACCAGUUUCAUGUGAAGCUUAUGCUUCUGUGAAUAGGAUCACACUUUUCCAGUGUGGUGAAACCUAGCAGAGGGCCAGUCUGGUGCCAGCAGCUGCGGUAAUUCCAGCUCUGCGAGUUUGCUCCCAUAUUGUUGCAGUUAAAACGCCCGUAGUCGGAAUUGGACAGCAAUGUCCCUACGUUUCAACGUUCACUGUGAACAAAUCAGGACGCUUAGAGUAUGGUAACAAGAAUGACUCAGCGCAGUAUGAAGUCUUUGUUUCUUUCGGGAAACAAGCUCAAUGAGAGCCAUCGGGGGUGGAUCUAUUUCAUGGCGAGUGGUGGAAUACUUUGACCCAUGAGAGAGACACGGAGGCGAAGGCGUCCACCUAGAGGGUUUCUGUCGAUCAAGGGCGAGAGUAGGAGUAUCCAACCGGAUUAGAGACCCGGGUAGUUCCUACUGUAAACGAUGCCGACAGAGGUUUGUCAUUUUAUAAUGGCAGAACUUUUAGAGAAAUCAUAGUUCUUGGGCUCUGGGGGAACUACGACCGCAAGGCUGAAACUUGAAGGAAUUGACGGAAGGGCACACCAGGGGUGGAGCCUGUGGCUUAAUUUGAAUCAACACGGGGAAACUUACCAGGACCAGAUGUUUUUUAUGACUGACAGGCUUCGGGUCUUUCAGGAUAUUGCUUUUGGUGGUGCAUGGCCGUUGGUGGUGCGUGGGUUGACCUGUCUAGCGUUGAUUCAGCUAACGAGCGAGAUUAUCGCCAAUUAUAUACCUCGCAUUGGCUUCAGUGUUGAGGUUCUAAUUGGGACUCCCUGCGAUUUUAGCAGGCGGAAGAGGGUAGCAAUAACAGGUCCGUGAUGUCC